UUAUGUGAUCGUCUCUCGCAUAUCAAUAAGCGGAGGAAAAGAAACUAACAAGGAUUCCCCUAGUAACGGCGUGUGAAGCGGGAAGAGCUCAAAUUUGAAAUCUUAAAGGGUUUCCCUUUACGAAUUGUAGUUUAAAGAAGUGUUUUCUGUUGAGGUUUUGGUAAAAGUUCUUUGGAAUAGGACAUCAUAGAGGGUGAGAAUCCCGUAUUUGACCUUUACUUUCAACUUUGUGAUACACUUUCAAAGAGUCGGAUUGUUUGGGAAUGCAGUCCAAAAUGGGUGGUAAAUUUCAUCUAAAGCUAAAUAUUGGCGAGAGACCGAUAGCGAACAAGUACCGUGAGGGAAAGAUGAAAAGAACUUUGAAAAGAGAGUUAAACAGUACGUGAAAUUGUCAAAAGGGAAGCGUUUGACACCAGUGUUGUUUUUCCUGAAAAUCAAUUAAAGAACUGUUUAUGCUAAGUCCGUUUAGACUUUAUCAGCUAACUGUUUAGUUUUGAGCUUUUCUUUAAUGCACUUUUCAGUUAACAAGUCAACAUCAAUUUCUUUUGCUUGUAAAAAAGCUUGAGGAAGGUGGCUUGAGAUUCGUCUUAAGUGUUUAUAGCCUCUUGCCUAUGCAGUCCGGAGAGAUUGAGGUCUGCAGCGUAGAUCCUUCGGGGCUAAAUGCAUUUGUGCUAAGUUAUAGCAUUUUAUAGACAACUUGUUGACUAUGAUUUGUCUUGUAGCUUACUCGCUUAUGUUAUUUUACCUACGCUUAGGAUGUUGAGUAGCGACAUACGCAC
rnacentral:rRNA from 1 species